GCUGAAUGGAGAAAGACGUGUUGAGGCUGAACAUCGGGAUCCUAGGGCUUAGGCAAGUAGGAGCCAUGGUGCCUUUUACUGAAGAAGUGAACACAGAAGCCGUUGACAUUGUUUUGAAGUACUUCAGCUCUAGAUAAAAGCUUUUCGCCUGGAUUCACAGUCUCCUAUCAUGGAGUCAACAGAGGCUGACUCUGCUGGUACCUGCUACACCUUUUGAAGUAAUUUUGAAACAGACCAACUGUCCCAAGACAGCACCAGGUGAACAAGAUUGCAGUAUCUUACCGAAUGGAGAGGACUGCAACCUGAUGAUGAAAACACUACAUUGUGGAAUACCAGCACACAGGAGCCAGGUUGCUGUACCUCUACCCUGGUGAUAUGAUGGAAACUUGGUAAUCUACAUAACAAUGAUGAACUCUGGUCUUCUUAAACAGGCAAGAAAUAAAAAAAGCAACAUAUCAAUCUGGAAAGCCUUUGGAUAUUCUACUUCUGAAAAAAGCCUGAAUAAAAACAUGUGUCUAUAGUAAGCCUGUUCUGUUUAGUUGACCUGUAAGUACUUACUCAUGUGCUAAAGCUUUGUGAACACAACAAAACGGCUAUCAAAUGUAUUUUGUCCUAAAAAGACAUUAGCAAAUUACUCUUUUUAAUGGAUACAAAAAUGAAUACUCACCCAUCAACCUCCAUCCCUCACACUCACACACACAAGAAGAAUACCCAUUUCAAUAGCCUUGAGAUACCAAAAUAAACUCAAGAACAAUUGGUUUUAAUUUGCUCUUUAUUUAAAUGUUUGUUUAUUUCAGCAUGAGCAUGCUUUAUAUGACAUCCCAACACAGAUAUGUGAUUUAGUAGCGCAGGGAUAAAACAAAACAUUUAGUUAAACAAUUAAGACAAAAGCAGUGCAACCGAUAAUGAAAAGUAACGCUUGUAAAUACAUUGCUCAGGCAA